GCUGAUAUGGCUCAGUUGGUAGAGCAAUUGAUUCGUAAUCAAUAGGUCGACGGUUCGAUCCCGCCUAUCAGCUCCA
rnacentral:tRNA from 1 species